rnacentral:rRNA from 1 species
GGGGGCAAAUUAAUAAUUUGAAGAAUAAUAAAAAAAAUUUUAAUAUUAUAAUAAUUUAAUGGGGGUUAAAGUAUUUUUAAUAGAAAAAAUUUAAAUUUUUAUAAUGGAAUAGUAUUGUGAAAGAAUUUUGAAAUAUUUUGAAAUUAAAUUAAUUAAAAAGUAAAUUUAAUUUAUUGUAUCUUGGGUAUCAGAGUUUAUUAAAAAUUUUUUAUUGUUUAAUAAAUUUCUCGAAUUUAAAAGAGAUAAUUAGUUAAAAAAGUUAUUGUUGUAUAAAUAUUUUUAAUAAUUAAUUUGAAAUGAAAUGUUAAUCGUUUUUAAAUAUAUCUAGUUUUUUUAGAAUAAAAUUUAAUUUUCAAUUUUUAUUUAAAAUUUAUUAAUUAAUUUAAUUUAUUUUGAUAUAAAAUUUUAUAUUUUAGGGGAUAAGCUUUAAAUUAAAUUUUUAUAAUAAUUUUUAUUUAUUUAAAAUUUUUAUAAUUUAUAUUGUUAAUAAAUUAUAUUUUAUUAUAAAUAAUUUUAUUAAAUUUAAAAUUUAAUUUAAUAUUUAAUUUUUUAUAAAAAAAUAAAUUAUAAUUUUUUAAUAUUUAAAUAUUAUGAUAAAAUUAGUAUAUAAAUAAAAUUAAUUAAAUUAUUUAAUUUUAAUUUAAAUUAAUUUAAAGGAAUUCGGCAAAAUUUUAUAUUCACUUGUUUAUCAAAAACAUGUCUUUUUGGGAAUAAUUUAAAGUCUAAUCUGCCCACUGAUAUUAAUUAAAGGGCUGCAGUAUUUUGACUGUACAAAGGUAGCAUAAUCAUUAGUCUCUUAAUUGGUGACUUGUAUGAAAGAUUGGAUGAGAUAUAUACUGUCUUUAAUUUAUAUUAUUGAAUUUAAUUUUUUCGUUAAAAAGCUCAAAUAAAUUAAAAAGACGAGAAGACCCUAUAGAGUUUUAUAAUUUUUAAAAAUUAAUUUUAUUUAUAAAUUUUUUGAUUUUAAUUUAUGGAAAUUAUUUUAUUGGGGUGAUAAAAAAAUUAAAAAAACUUUUUUUAAAAAAUUUCAUUAAUAAGUGAUUAAAUGAUCCAAUUUUAUUGAUUAUAAGAUUAAAUUACCUUAGGGAUAACAGCGUAAUUUUUUUUUUUAGUUCAAAUAAAAAAAAAAGUUUGCGACCUCGAUGUUGGAUUAAGAUAAAAUUUAUAUGCAAAAGUAUAAAAUUUUGAUCUGUUCGAUCAUUAAAAUCUUACAUGAUCUGAGUUCAAACCGGUGUAAGCCAGGUUGGUUUCUAUCUUUUGAAAAAGAAAUAUUUUAGUACGAAAGGAUCAAAUAUUUUAAUUAAAUUAUUUAAUAAUUGAAUUUUAUUAAUUUUUAAUAAAAAAUUUUUUUUUAAUUUAGUAGAA